UACGUAGGGGGCAAGCGUUGUCCGGAAUCAUUGGGCGUAAAGAGCGUGUAGGCGGUUCGAUAAGUCUGCUGUGAAAGUCCAAGGCUCAACCUUGGGAUGCCGGUGGAUACUGUCGAACUCGAGUCCGGAAGAGGAGUGUGGAAUUCCUGGUGUAAGCGGUGAAAUGCGCAGAUAUCAGGAGGAACACCGAUGGCGAAGGCAGCACUCUGGGACGUGACUGACGCUGAGACGCGAAAGCGUGGGGAGCAAACAGG
rnacentral:rRNA from 1 species